rnacentral:rRNA from 1 species
UACGUAGGGGGCUAGCGUUGUCCGGAAUCAUUGGGCGUAAAGCGCGUGUAGGCGGCCCGGUAAGUCCGCUGUGAAAGUCGGGGGCUCAACCCUCGAAUGCCGGUGGAUACUGUCGGGCUCGAGUGCGGAAGAGGCGAGUGGAAUUCCUGGUGUAGCGGUGAAAUGCGUAGAUAUCGUAAGGAAGACCAGUGGCGAAGGCGGGUCUCUGGACAGUUCCUGACGCUGAGGCACGAAGGUCAGGGGAGCAAACGGG